AGCGAACGCUGGCGGCAGGCCUAACACAUGCAAGUCGAACGAAGUCCUCGGACUUAGUGGCGGACGGGUGAGUAACACGUGGGAACGUGCCUUUAGGUUCGGAAUAACUCAGGGAAACUUGUGCUAAUACCGAAUGUGCCCUUCGGGGGAAAGAUUUAUCGCCUUUAGAGCGGCCCGCGUCUGAUUAGCUAGUUGGUGAGGUAAAGGCUCACCAAGGCUACGAUCAGUAGCUGGUCUGAGAGGAUGACCAGCCACAUUGGGACUGAGACACGGCCCAAACUCCUACGGGAGGCAGCAGUGGGGAACCUUGCGCAAUGGGCGAAAGCCUGACGCAGCCAUGCCGCGUGGAUGAUGAAGGUCUUAGGAUUGUAAAAUCCUUUCACCGGUGAAGAUAAUGACUGUAGCCGGAGAAGAAGCCCCGGCUAACUUCGUGCCAGCCGCCGCAGUAAUAC
rnacentral:rRNA from 1 species